rnacentral:rRNA from 1 species
GGUAUGUAAAGCUCUAUCAGCAGGGAAGAUAAUGACGGUACCUGACUAAGAAGCACCGGCUAAAUACGUGCCAGCAGCCGCGGUAAUACGUAUGGUGCAAGCGUUAUCCGGAUUUACUGGGUGUAAAGGGAGCGCAGGCGGUGCGGUAAGUCUGAUGUGAAAGCCCGGGGCUCAACCCCGGUACUGCAUUGGAAACUGUCGUACUAGAGUGUCGGAGGGGUAAGCGGAAUUCCUAGUGUAGCGGUGAAAUGCGUAGAUAUUAGGAGGAGCACCAGUGGCGAAGGCGGCUUACUGGACGAUAACUGACGCUGAGGCUCGAAAGCGUGGGGAGCAAACAGGAUUAGAUACCCUGGUAGUCCACGCCGUAAA